GAUGAACGCUGGCGGCGUGCCUAACGCAUGCAAGUCGAGCGAGGACCGCCCGGUGGCAACACCGGGUUGGUGCCUAGCGGCGAACGGGUGAGUAACACGUGGGUAACCUGCCCCCGACACCGGGAUAAGCCUGGGAAACUGGGUCUAAUACCGGAUAUUGAGCCUCCUCCGCAUGGUGGGGGCUGGAAAGGGUCUCCGGUCGGGGAUGGGCCCGCGUCCUAUCAGCUUGUUGGUGGGGUAACGGCCUACCAAGGCGACGACGGGUAGCCGGCCUGAGAGGGUGUACGGCCACACUGGGACUGAGACACGGCCCAGACUCCUACGGGAGGCAGCAGCGGGGAAUAUUGCGCAAUGGGCGAAAGCCUGACGCAGCGACGCCGCGUGCGGGACGAAGGCCUUCGGGUUGUAAACCGCUUUCAGCAGGGACGAAGCGAAAGUGACGGUACCUGCAGAAGAAGGUCCGGCCAACUCCGUGCCAGCCGCCGCGGUAAAAC
rnacentral:rRNA from 1 species